UACGUAGGUGUCGAGCGUUGUCCGGAUUUAUUGGGCGUAAAGAGCCCGCAGGCGGCUUGGCAAGUUUGAGGUGAAAUCUCCCGGCUUAACUGGGAGGGGGCCUCGAAAACUGCCAGGCUUGAGGCAUGGAGAGGGAUGCGGAAUUCCCGGUGUAGUGGUGAAAUGCGCAGAUAUCAGGAGGAACACCGAUGGCGAAGGCAGUGGGCUGGGCCGGCACUGACGCUGAGGAGCGAAAGCGUGGGGAGCGAACAGG
rnacentral:rRNA from 1 species